ensembl:lncRNA
CCGCCUCUCCCUCGUGGUCCUGGGGCACCCUCAGGGCAGCUGGUGUGGCACGGGGUGUGGGCUGGCAUUCAGGCUCGGGGUCAGCCUGCCAGCUGGAUGCGGUGACCCCCAGCGACUGUCGCGCUCUGUGCACCCAGGAUCAGAGAGAUUCGGCCCUGUCCGGGCUUGCGCCUGGAGCAGGGCUCCCAUCCCCUGGAAAACAACAGCUUCAAAGUGCCCAGGCCCACCCCGGUCUGGUCUCAGGACUCCCUCCCCUUCCUGUUGACCCCUGGCCCGCGGCGGCCAGCCUCAGAUCCCUGGCCUUCCUGCACCCGUAUACCUGUCGCCUCCUCCACCCGAGGUUAAUUGCUUUGCCCGGAGCCUGCACUUUCCACCUCUCCCUUGUUCGUCCUGGCACGUGGCUUCCAGCAAAGUGGAAAACCAGACGUGGAAAAACACUGAGCUGACAUCUCAAGGCAGGCUCGGUUCCUGAAUGUUUUGUUUUUCUGAUACUGUGUGUGUCCGACGGACCGGACCAUCGUGUUCGGAAAUGGGGAGUGUGCAAGCUCUCGAUGGACGCUUGGCUCCAGAGAAACACGGUUCUCUCUCCCAACGGGAUCAGCCGGAAGGAGCACGGCAGACGUGUCAGAGCCCCCCGAUCCCUCCGGGGCCCUGGCUGACCCCCAUUCAGGUACCACGGGUUUGGCGACAGCACGGUGUUUCCCGGAGAAAGGCUGAAGGUGGUGAGGUGAACACUUGCACCGGGUCCGCCCCCCUCUCUCUCUCCCCCUUUGAACAGAGCGAAGUCUGCUCUUUGGAAAAACUGGAGAAGGUACGGCACAUUCAUUCUUACUUCAUGAGUUUGGAAUCUGUUGUUUUUAAGCAAAAGGAACAAGCAAACCACAGUGCUUCAUGCGCACGUGACACCCUGGGACCCGGUCACCGUGGACAGGGCUCCAGGCUCGGGGCCAGGAAGCCCGAGUGCACGCCCCAGGGCCGCCCCCAGCCGGCUCUGUCACAUUUGGCGGGUUCCUUUCAUCUUCGCCAGGGAAAUAACAUCCUCCAACUUCCCAAGAAUGCUGCGGAGAUGAAACGCGGCCCCAGAUCUAAAGAGGCAGGAUUCCGGCGCUGGAGCAGGUCUCUGGCAGGUGGAGAGUCAGCCCGUGGAUCUGAGAUCUUUCUCCUAACAAAGUCCACUGGUUUCAACGUCAGCCUCAUCCAGAAACAGCCUUCCAGAAACAUCCAGAAUAAUGCUUGACCACGCACACCUGGGCACCCUGUGGCCCAGCCAAGCUGAUGUGGAAAAUGACACCCCCCCCAGUCUCCCAGGCUGGGGCCACCUGUGGGGCUGGACGGCCCCUCGGAGCCUCAGUCCAUCGAUGGCCACGUUCCCUGGGAGGGCAGGACGGGGCCGCCGCUGGGGAGUUGGUGAGAAGGACCAGUGGCUGAGGGGCCACCAGACGCUUCGGCAGACUCCGGCGCGCACGUGUCCACGGUGGCCACAGGUGCAGACAGCCCAGAUGCUGAUCAAUCCAUUAGUGGAUGAAUGAAACAUGGUCAAUCUACGCACGCGCACGUCCCUCAGGCGCGUCCACCGCGCACGUGCACGCCCCUCGGCCGCGAGCAGGGGCGAGGCGCCCGCACCCGCCGCCCCGCAGACGACCCGGAACACACGACGCUCCGGGAGGGAACCGGACACGGGAGGGCACGCGGGGUGGGAGUCUACGUGCGGGACCGUCCGGAACAGGCUCGUCCACGGACGGGAGGGGGUCCUGUGGAGGCCGGAGGACGGGGAAGGGGAGGGGUGAAUGCUAAAGGGGAUAGAGUUUCUUUUGAGGGUGAUGGAAUAUUCUGGAACUAGAUAGAGUGUGGUGGUUGCACACUACUGUGAAGAUACCACUUAAAAAUGGUUCAAACGAUGGAUGCCUAGGUGGCUUAGUCAUAGAGCAUGCGGUUCAUGAUCUCAGGGUUGUGAGUUCAAGGCCCACACUAGACACUACUUAAUUUUAAAAAAUGAUUAAGGGACACCUGGGUGGCUCAGUCGGUUAAGCAUCUGACUCUUGACUUCGGCUCAGGUCAUGAUCUCAGUUUGCCAGUUUGAGCCCUGCAUCAGGCUCUGCACUUGACAAUGGAGCCUGCUUAGGAUUCUCUCUCUCUGCCCACCCACCCCCCUUGCUUUCUCUCUCUCUCUACAUAAAUAAGUAAACAUUAAAAAAAUAACAAAAUGAAAAAAUUUAAAAGUGGUUGAAAAGUGUCAUGUGACGUAUACACUUUGCCAGCUGUACAUACUUUGAGCGCUGACAGUCAUGCACUUCCGUGGUGAACGGUGCGGUUUCUGAGCUGACCUCACUGUGACCUGGGGAAGAGAGGGGGAGCCUGGUGUGCGGGGGGUGGGGGGGCUGCAGGGGUGCCGCGGUGCUAGCCUCACGGUCAGGUCUUCGUUUUCCUUCUGAUCCGGCCUCUCGUGCGUGUGUCCAGGGGACGGGGACAGAAUAAAUCGCCCCAGACCCCACCCAUUUAUUGUCCCACAGUCUCUGAGUCAGGAAUCUGGGCACAGCCUAACUGGGUCCUCUGCUCUGGGUCCCGCCAGGCCAUCAUCCAGGUGUCAGCCAGGCGGCAUCCUUCCCCGGGGGGUUGACGCGGGGAGACCCUGCCCCUGAGCCGCCUCGGGGUGUCAGCCCAGUUCCUGUCCUGGCGGCUGUGGGGCUGCGCGCGGGGUGCUUGCCGCGUGUCCGCCGUACGUGCCAUGCCAGCAAGGAGGAUCUUGGGCGCGGGGACAGAAGUCCCAGAGGCCCCACCAGCGAACACACAGGCUGCCCUGCCGAAGUCCUGUCCGGAUCGCAUGCAGUCACACCCCUGCGUUCUGCGUGUGCGCCCCCCUUCCCAUGUGCCAUCACUCCGAGGUCCUGCAGAGGCUCUGCGAGCUGGGGCACCGAGGUGGCGAGGGUCACAGGACACUUGCCCCCGCCUCCCGGGGCCGCCGGGGCUUGGCCGCCUUCCUGCAGUAACAAGAAAAGGCGUAAUGGAAUUUGGACGGUUGAGAAAGGGGAUGUCAGCGUGAGCAGAGCUAGACACUCGAUCUCAUUGUUAGAAAUUCC